rnacentral:rRNA from 1 species
GACGAACGCUGGCGGCGUGCUUAACACAUGCCAGUCGAACGGAAAGGCCCUGCUUUUGUGGGGUGCUCGAGUGGCGAACGGGUGAGUAACACGUGAGUAACCUGCCCUUGACUUUGGGAUAACUUCAGGAAACUGGGGCUAAUACCGGAUAGGAGCUCCUGCUGCAUGGUGGGGGUUGGAAAGUUUCGGCGGUUGGGGAUGGACUCGCGGCUUAUCAGCUUGUUGGUGGGGUAGUGGCUUACCAAGGCUUUGACGGGUAGCCGGCCUGAGAGGGUGACCGGGGCAAGUGGGACUGAGAUGAGGCAAAGGCGCGGACGCGAGGCAGCAGGGGCGAAGGGUGCGAGAGGGGCUGAGGUGUGAUGAAGCACUGGCGUGUGGGGGAGGACGGAAUGGGGGGGGAAAAAAGAUUUAGCAUGGGACGAAGCGGGAGUGACGGUAAUGGGGAAAGAAGCAACGGCUAAGUACGUG